GGAGGAUCACCUGAACCCAAGGAGAUCAAGGCUGAAGUGAGCUGUGAUUGUGUCACUGCAUUCCAGCCUGGGAGAUAGUGAGACUCUGUCUCAAAAGAAAAAGGGCAGGAUGGGGGAGGGGACAAAAAGCAUUCUUAGUUUAAGAAUAGGUUUUGCUUUAAAAAUCAUAGUACACUCAUAAAUUCUUGCUGAAAUCAAUAAUUACACAAGAGAAUAACAAUACUAAUAGCCUGUCGUAAAUUGACCCCAAGUCUUUUUAAUAAAGCACACUUUUUUUUAAUUAUACUUUAAGUUCUGGGAUACACAUACAGAAUGUGGUUUGUUACGUAGGUAUACAUGUGUCAUGGUGGUUUGCUGCACCCAUCAACCCAGCAUCUAUAUUAGGUAUUUCUCCUAAUGCUGUCCCUCCUCCUGCCCCCUGACAGGCCCCAGUGUGUGAUGUUCCCCUCCCUUUGUCCAUGUGUUCUCAUUGUUCAACUCCCACUUAUGAGUGAGAACAUGUGGUGUUUGGUUUUCUGUUCCUGUGUUAGUUUGCUGAGAAUGAUGGUUUCCAGCUUCAUCCACGUCCCCGCAAAGGACAUGAACUCAUUCUUUUUUAUGGCCACAUAGUAUUCCAUGGUGUAUAUGUGCCACAUUUUUUUUAUCCAGUCUAUCAUUGAUGGGCAUUUGAGUUGGUUCCAAGUCUUUGCUAUUGUAAAUAGUGCUGCAAUAAACAUACGAUAAAGCACAUUAUUCUUAGCCCUUAUGUAAUCAAAAAUCAGGUUCAGUCACAUGCCACUUACAGAGUCCAGUUAACAAGAGCAAGAUCUGGUAUAAAGAAAGUGACUUUUGGCUGGGCACGGUGGCUCAUGCCUGUAAUCCCAGCACUUUGGAGGCCGAGGUGGGCAGAUCAUCUGAGGUCAGGAGUUC
rnacentral:lncRNA from 1 species